rnacentral:rRNA from 1 species
UGGGCGUUAAGUUGCAGGGUAUAGACCCGAAACCCGGUGAUCUAGCCAUGGGCAGGUUGAAGGUUGGGUAACACUAACUGGAGGACCGAACCGACUAAUGUUGAAAAAUUAGCGGAUGACCUGUGGCUGGGGGUGAAAGGCCAAUCAAACCGGGAGAUAGCUGGUUCUCCCCGAAAGCUAUUUAGGUAGCGCCUCGUGAAUUCAUCUCCGGGGGUAGAGCACUGUUUCGGCUAGGGGGCCAUCCCGGCUUACCAACCCGAUGCAAACUGCGAAUACCGGAGAAUGUUAUCACGGGAGACACACGGCGGGUGCUAACGUCCGUCGUGAAGAGGGAAACAACCCAGACCGCCAGCUAAGGUCCCAAAGUCAUGGUUAAGUGGGAAACGAUGUGGGAAGGCCCAGACAGCCAGGAUGUUGGCUUAGAAGCAGCCAUCAUUUAAAGAAAGCGUAAUAGCUCACUGGUCGAGUCGGCCUGCGCGGAAGAUGUAACGGGGCUAAACCAUGCACCGAAGCUGCGGCAGCGAACGUAUCACCCAAGACAACUUUACGGAGUUGACGAUUGACGGAGCGAAGCGACGUCAAAGCGUUCAUUAAAGUCGAGUUGGCUUAGGGAUACGUUCGUUGGGUAGGGGAGCGUUCUGUAAGCCUGUGAAGGUGUGUCGUGAGGCAUGCUGGAGGUAUCAGAAGUGCGAAUGCUGACAUAAGUAACGAUAAAGCGGGUGAAAAGCCCGCUCGCCGGAAGACCAAGGGUUCCUGUCCAACGUUAAUCGGGGCAGGGUGAGUCGACCCCUAAGGCGAGGCCGAAAGGCGUAGUCGAUGGGAAACGGGUUAAUAUUCCCGUACUUGGUGUUACUGCGAAGGGGGGACGGAGAAGGCUAUGUUGGCCGGGCGACGGUUGUCCCGGUUUAAGCGUGUAGGUGUGUGUUCCAGGUAAAUCCGGUUCACUUUAACACUGAGGCGUGAUGACGAGGCACUACGGUGCUGAAG